rnacentral:rRNA from 1 species
GAUGAACGCUGGCGGCGUGCCUAAUACAUGCAAGUCGAGCGAACAGACGAGGAUCUUGCUCCUCUGACGUUAGCGGCGGACGGGUGAGUAACACGUGGAUAACCUACCUAUAAGACUGGGAUAACUUCGGGAAACCGGAGCUAAUACCGGAUAAUAUAUUGAACCGCAUGGUUCAAUAGUGAAAGACGGUUUUGCUGUCACUUAUAGAUGGAUCCGCGCCGCAUUAGCUAGUUGGUAAGGUAACGGCUUACCAAGGCAACGAUGCGUAGCCGACCUGAGAGGGUGAUCGGCCACACUGGAACGGAGACACGGUCCAGACGCCUACGGGAGGCAGCAGUAGGGAAUCUUCCGCAAUGGGCGAAAGCCUGACGGAGCAACGCCGCGUGAGUGAUGAAGGUCUUCGGAUCGUAAAACUCUGUUAUUAGGGAAGAACAAAUGUGUAAGUAACUAUGCACGUCUUGACGGUACCUAAUCAGAAAGCCACGGCUAACUACGUG